GACGAACGCUGGCGGCGUGCCUAAUACAUGCAAGUCGAACGCAGUGGGGACGGGUGAGUAACACGUGGGUAACCUCCCAUCAGAGGGGAUAACCCUUGGAAACAGGUGCUAAACCGAUACUGAUGGAUGGACCCGCGGUGCAUUAGCUAGUUGGGGGGGUAAAGGCUCACCAAGGCCACGAUGCAUAGCCGGCCUGAGAGGGUGAUCAGCAACACUGGGACUGAGACACGGCCCAGACUCCUACGGGAGGCAGCAGUAGGGAAUAUUGGGCAAUGGACGAAAGUCUGACCGAGCAACGCCGCGUGAGUGAAGAAGGUUUUCGGAUCGUAAAACUCUGUUGGUAGAGAAGCGGUAUCUAAACAGAAAGCCACGGCUAACUACGUGCCAGCCGCCGCGGUAAUUC
rnacentral:rRNA from 1 species